GUCUGACCAACCUCCUCCCGCAAACUGUUUUGGCCUCUGAAGGAGGAGGAGGUCAGGCAUGGU
rnacentral:ncRNA from 2 species